rnacentral:rRNA from 1 species
UACGGAGGAUCCGAGCGUUAUCCGGAUUUAUUGGGUUUAAAGGGUGCGUAGGCGGCCUAUUAAGUCCGGGGUGAAAGACGGUAGCUUAACUAUCGCAGUGCCUUUGAUACUGAUAGGCUUGAAUGUACUUGAGGUAGGCGGAAUGUGACAAGUAGCGGUGAAAUGCAUAGAUAUGUCACAGAACACCAAUUGCGAAGGCAGCUUACUAAAGUAUGAUUGACGCUGAGGCACGAAAGCGUGGGGAUCAAACAGG